UGGUGGAGUGAUUUGUCUGGUUGAUUCCGUUAACGAACGAGACCUCGACCUGCUAAAUAGUUCGGCGUAUCUUCGGAUACGUGCGUGACUUCUUAGAGGGACUGUCGGAUUGUAGCCGAAGGAAGUUCGAGGCGAUAACA
rnacentral:rRNA from 1 species